CUCAGUUCGGAUCGGAGUCUGNAACCCGACUCCGUGAAGCUGGAUUCGCUAGUAAUCGCGCAUCAGCCAUGGCGCGGUGAAUACGUUCCCGGGCCUUGUACACACCGCCCGUCGAGCCAUGGGAGCCGGGGGUGCUUGAAGUGCGUCGCCGCGAGGCGCGCCCUAGAGCAAAACCGGUGACUGGGGCUAAGUCGUAACAAGGUAAC
rnacentral:rRNA from 1 species